GUUGAACGCUGGCGGCAUGCCUUACACAUGCAAGUCGAACGGCAGCGCGGGUGCUUGCACCUGGCGGCGAGUGGCGAACGGGUGAGUAAUAUAUCGGAACGUGCCCUAGAGUGGGGGAUAACGUAGCGAAAGUUACGCUAAUACCGCAUACGAUCUACGGAUGAAAGUGGGGGAUCGCAAGACCUCAUGCUCCUGGAGCGGCCGAUGUCUGAUUAGCUAGUUGGUGGGGUAAAGGCCCACCAAGGCGACGAUCAGUAGCUGGUCUGAGAGGACGACCAGCCACACUGGGACUGAGACACGGCCCAGACUCCUACGGGAGGCAGCAGUGGGGAAUUUUGGACAAUGGGGGCAACCCUGAUCCAGCAAUGCCGCGUGAGUGAAGAAGGCCUUCGGGUUGUAAAGCUCUUUUGUCAGGGAAGAAACGGUCUGGGUUAAUACCCUGGGCUAAUGACGGUACCUGAAGAAUAAGCACCGGCUAACUACGUGCCAGCCGCCGCCGUAACAC
rnacentral:rRNA from 1 species